AGAGACAUUUAUAAAACCUUGCAAGUUUUAAUUAACCCAAUUCUGGGUUGUCCCUA
rnacentral:tRNA from 1 species